rnacentral:rRNA from 1 species
ACGAACGCUGGCGGCGUGCCUAACACAUGCAAGUCGAGCGGAGAAGAGCAUUCAUGUUCUUUUCAGCGGCGGACGGGUGAGUAACACGUGGGUAACCUGCCUCGAAAUGGGGGAUAGCCUUCCGAAAGGAAGAUUAAUACCGCAUAACCUCGGAUCUCCGCAUGGAGGACCGAGAAAAGGAGAAAUCCGUUUCGAGAUGGACCCGCGGCGCAUUAGCUAGUUGGUGAGGUAACGGCCCACCAAGGCGACGAUGCGUAGCCGACCUGAGAGGGUGAUCGGCCACAUUGGAACUGAGACACGGUCCAGACUCCUACGGGAGGCAGCAGUGGGGAAUAUUGCACAAUGGGCGAAAGCCUGAUGCAGCAACGCCGCGUGAGUGAUGAAGGCCUUCGGGUCGUAAAGCUCUUUGAUCAGGGACGAUAAUGACGGUACCUGAAAAACAAGCCACGGCUAACUACGU